rnacentral:rRNA from 1 species
GACGAACGCUGGCGGCGUGCUUAACACAUGCAAGUCGAACGGAAAGGCCCUGCUUUUGUGGGGUGCUCGAGUGGCGAACGGGUGAGUAACACGUGAGUAACCUGCCCUUGACUUUGGGAUAACUUCAGGAAACUGGGGCUAAUAUCGGAUAGGAGCUCCUGCUGCAUGGUGGGGGUUGGAAAGUUUCGGCGGUUGGGGAUGGACUGGCGGCUUAUCAGCUUGUUGGUGGGGUAGUGGCUUACCAAGGCUUUGACGGGUAGCCGGCCUGAGAGGGUGGCCGGCCACAUUGGGACUGAGAUACGGCCCAGACUCCUACGGGAGGCAGCAGUGGGGAAUAUUGCACAAUGGGCAGAAGCCUGAUGCAGCAACGCCGCGUGCGGGAUGACGGCCUUCGGGUUGUAAACCGCUUUCGCCUGUGACGAAGCGUGAGUGACGGUAAUGGGUAAAGAAGCACCGGCUAACUACGUG